GGGUUGUUAGCUCAGUGGUAGAGCAGUUGGCUUUUAACCAAUUGGUCGAAGGUUCGAAUCCUUCACAACCCA
rnacentral:tRNA from 1 species